GACGAACCGAGCGAACGUUGUUCGGAAUCACUGGGCUUAAAGGGCGCGUAGGCGGGCGACCAAGUCAGGGGUGAAAUCGUUCGGCCCAACCGGACAAGGGCCCCUGAUACUGGUUGUCUCGAGGGAGGUAGGGGUCGAUGGAACUUCCGGUGGAGCGGUGAAAUGCGUAGAUAUCAGGAGGAACACCGGUGGCGAAGGCGGGUCUCUGGGCCGAUACUGACGCUGAGGAGCGAAAGCGUGGGGAGCGAACAGG
rnacentral:rRNA from 1 species